rnacentral:rRNA from 1 species
AACGCCCGGUCCCAUUCCGAACCCGGAAGCUAAGCCUGCCAGCGCCGAUGGUACUGCACUCGUGAGGGUGUGGGAGAGUAGGACACCGCCGAAC